rnacentral:rRNA from 1 species
GUGCCUUCGGGAACUGUGAGACAGGUGCUGCAUGGCUGUCGUCAGCUCGUGUUGUGAAAUGUUGGGUUAAGUCCCGCAACGAGCGCAACCCUUAUCCUUUGUUGCCAGCGAUUAGGUCGGGAACUCAAAGGAGACUGCCAGUGAUAAACUGGAGGAAGGUGGGGAUGACGUCAAGUCAUCAUGGCCCUUACGACCAGGGCUACACACGUGCUACAAUGGCGCAUACAAAGAGAAGCGA